CCCUUAGACGUUCUGGGCCGCACGCGCGCUACACUGACCAGUGCAACAAGCAUCCGUCCUUGGCCGACAGGCCCGGGCAAUCUUUGAACGCUGGUCGUGAUGGGGAUAGACUUUUGCAAUUUUUGGUCUUCAACGAGGAAUUCCUAGUAAACGCAAGUCAUCAACUUGCAUUGAUUACGUCCCUGCCCUUUGUACACACCGCCCGUCGCUCCUACCGAUUUCGAGUGGUUCGGUGAACCUUUCGGACCGGCAAUGCCUCGUGUUGCGCCGGAAAGUCAAGUAAACCAUAUCACUUAGAGGAAGGAGAAGUCGUAACA
rnacentral:rRNA from 1 species